UACGUAGGGUGCAAGCGUUAAUCGGAAUUACUGGGCGUAAAGGGCGCGUAGGCGGCCUGCUAAGUCGAACGUGAAAUCCCCGGGCUCAACCCGGGAACUGCGUCCGAGACUGGCGGGCUUGAAUCCGGGAGAGGGAUGCGGAAUUCCAGGUGUAGCGGUGAAAUGCGUAGAUAUCUGGAGGAACACCGGUGGCGAAGGCGGCAUCCUGGACCGGCAUUGACGCUGAGGCGCGAAAGCCAGGGGAGCAAACAGG
rnacentral:rRNA from 1 species